rnacentral:rRNA from 1 species
UGAGGGUCGAACGAUGAAGCCCUUCGGGGUGGAUUAGUGGCGAACGGGUGAGUAACACGUGGGCAAUCUGCCCUGCACUCUGGGACAAGCCCUGGAAACGGGGUCUAAUACCGGAUAUGACUGUCCACCGCAUGGUGGAUGGUGUAAAGCUCCGGCGGUGCAGGAUGAGCCCGCGGCCUAUCAGCUUGUUGGUGAGGUAGUGGCUCACCAAGGCGACGACGGGUAGCCGGCCUGAGAGGGCGACCGGCCACACUGGGACUGAGACACGGCCCAGACUCCUACGGGAGGCAGCAGUGGGGAAUAUUGCACAAUGGGCGAAAGCCUGAUGCAGCGACGCCGCGUGAGGGAUGACGGCCUUCGGGUUGUAAACCUCUUUCAGCAGGGAAGAAGCGAAAGUGACGGUACCUGCAGAAGAAGCGCCGGCUAACUACGUGCCAGCAGCCGCGGUAAUACGUAAGGCGCAAGCGUUGUCCGGAAUUAUUGGGCGUAAAGAGCUCGUAGGCGGGCUUGUCACGUCGGUUGUGAAAGCCCGGGGCUUAACCCCCGGUCUGCAGUCGAUACGGGCAGGCUAUAGUUCGGUAGGGGGAGAUCGGAAUUUCUGGUGUAAGCGGUGAAAUGCGCCAGAUAUCAGGAGGAAACACC